rnacentral:rRNA from 1 species
GAUUUCUGGCUUGAAACAUUUGGCCCGCCACGGUUUCGUGUGUUAGUGCUUUGUGUUCUGGCCAUCCUUCCAAUGGCUGCGCGUGCGUCCUUCAUUGGGCGCGCGUGCGGUGUUGGAUCUUUUACUUUGAAAAAAUUAGAGUGUUUCAAGCAGGCUUUAUGCUAUGAAUACAUUAGCAUGGAAUAAUAAUUUAGGACUUCGGUUCUAUUUUGUUGGUUUCUAGGACUGAAGUAAUGAUUGAUAGGGAUAGUUGGGGGUGCUAGUAUUCAGCGGCCAGAGGUGAAAUUCUCGGAUUCGCUGAAGACUAACUUAUGCGAAAGCAUU